UACUUUAGGUCUAUUGCAUGAUAAA
rnacentral:miRNA from 1 species